UGCAGGCGCAGCUAUACUGCAAGUCGAGCGGACUGAUGGGAGCUUGCUCCCAUCAGUCAGCGGCGGACGGGUGAGUAACACGUGGGUAACCUGCCUGUAAGACUGGGAUAACUCCGGGAAACCGGGGCUAAUACCGGAUAACUCAUUUCCUCGCAUGAGGAAAUGUUGAAAGGUGGCUUUUAGCUACCACUUACAGAUGGACCCGCGGCGCAUUAGCUAGUUGGUGAGGUAACGGCUCACCAAGGCGACGAUGCGUAGCCGACCUGAGAGGGUGAUCGGCCACACUGGGACUGAGACACGGCCCAGACUCCUACGGGAGGCAGCAGUAGGGAAUCUUCCGCAAUGGACGAAAGUCUGACGGAGCAACGCCGCGUGAGUGAUGAAGGUUUUCGGAUCGUAAAACUCUGUUGUUAGGGAAGAACAAGUACCGUCCAAAUAGGGCGGUACCUUGACGGUACCUAACCCGAAAGACAGGGCAAACUACUUGCUAUCAGCAAAGGUAAUACGUAGGUGGCAAGCGUUGUACCGAACUAAUGAGCACACACCACG
rnacentral:rRNA from 1 species